rnacentral:rRNA from 1 species
AAAAGUUAGUAUGAGUUAUGUUCUUGAAAUUUAAAAAAUUUGGCGGUAUUUUAAACUUUUAGAGGAACCUGUCCUGUAAUUGAUAGUCCACGAUAAAAUGUACUUAUUUUGGGUUUAUAUAUCGUUGUAGAUAAAUAUUUUGUAAGAAAUAUAAUAUUUGGAAUAUAGGAUUAUUAUAAGGAUUCAAAUCAAGAUGUAGCUAUAAAUAAGAAGAGAUGGGUUACAAUUAUUUUAAUAUUGGAAUAGUUAUUUUAAAUGAUUUUGAAAGUGGAUUUAAUAGUAAUUUGAUAUAUUAUUUUUAGGUGAAUUAGUUUAUAAAAUAUGCACAUAUUGCCCGUCACUCCUAUUUAAA